rnacentral:rRNA from 1 species
CCUACGGGCGGCAGCAGUGAGGAAUAUUGGUCAAUGGGCGCAAGCCUGAACCAGCCAAGUCGCGUGAGGGAUGACGGUCCUAUGGAUUGUAAACCUCUUUUGUCGGGGAGCAAGGCCCGCCACGUGUGGCGGGAAGGAGAGUACCCGAAGAAAAAGCAUCGGCUAACUCCGUGCCAGCAGCCGCGGUAAUACGGAUGAUGCGAGCGUGAUCCGGAUUUAUUGGGUUUAAAGGGUGCGUAGGUGGAAGGUUAAGUCAGCGGUAAAAUGUCGGUGCUCAACACCGGCCUGCCGUUGAAACUGGUCUUCUUGAGUGAGCGAGAAGUAUGCGGAAGGCGUGGUGUAGCGGUGAAAUGCAUAGAUAGCACGCAGAACUCCGAUUGCGAAGGCAGCAUACCGGCGCUCAACUGACGCUGAGGCACGAAAGCGUGGGGAUCGAACAGGAUUAGAUACCCCUGUAGUC